rnacentral:rRNA from 1 species
GCUGGCGCGUGCCUAAUACAUGCAAGUAGAACGCUGAAGGAGGAGCUUGCUCUUCUGGAUGAGUUGCGAACGGGUGAGUAACGCGUAGGUAACCUGCCUGGUAGCGGGGGAUAACUAUUGGAAACGAUAGCUAAUACCGCAUAACAUUGACUAUUGCAUGAUAGUCAAUUGAAAGGUGCAAAAUGCACCAUACCAGAUGGACCUGCGUUGUAUUAGCUAGUUGGUGGGGUAACGGCUCACCAAGGCGACGAUACAUAGCCGACCUGAGAGGGUGAUCGGCCACACUGGGACUGAGACACGGCCCAGACUCCUACGGGAGGCAGCAGUAGGGAAUCUUCGGCAAUGGACGGAAGUCUGACCGAGCAACGCCGCGUGAGUGAAGAAGGUUUUCGGAUCGUAAAGCUCUGUUGUAAGAGAAGAACGAGUGUGAGAGUGGAAAGUUCACACUGUGACGGUAUCUUACCAGAAAGGGACGGCUAACUACGUG